AUUGAACGCUGGCGGCAGGCUUAACACAUGCAAGUCGAGCGGGGUGAUGGUGCUUGCACUAUCACUUAGCGGCGGACGGGUGAGUAAUGCUUAGGAAUCUGCCUAUUAGUGGGGGACAACAUCUCGAAAGGGAUGCUAAUGCCGCAUACGUCCUACGGGAGAAAGCAGGGGAUCACUUGUGACCUUGCGCUAAUAGAUGAGCCUAAGUCGGAUUAGCUAGUUGGUGGGGCAAAGGCCUACCAAGGCGACGAUCUGUAGCGGGUCUGAGAGGAUGAUCCGCAACACUGGGACUGAGACACGGCCCAGACUCCUACGGGCGGCAGCAGUGGGGAAUAUUGGACAAUGGGGGGAACCCUGAUCCAGCCAUGACGCGUGUGUGAAGAAGGCCUUAUGGUUGUAAAGCACUUUAAGCGAGGAGGAGGCUCUUUUGGUUAAUACCCAAGAUGAGUGGACGUUACUCGCAGAAUAAGCACCGGCUAACUCUGUGCCAGCGGCCGUGGUAA
rnacentral:rRNA from 1 species